rnacentral:rRNA from 1 species
CGUUAGCGGCGGACGGGUGAGUAACACGUGGGUAAUCUGCCUUAUACAGGGGGAGUAACAGUUAGAAAUGACUGCUAAUACCGCAUAAGCGCACGGGGACGCAUGUUUCUGUGUGAAAACUACCGGUAGUAUAAGAUGAGCCCGCGUCUGAUUAGCUGGUUGGUGGGGUAACGGCCUACCAAGGCGACGAUCAGUAGCCGGCCUGAGAGGGUGAACGGCCACAUUGGGACUGAGACACGGCCCAAACUCCUACGGGAGGCAGCAG